GGAUACUUAGCUCAGUUGGGAGAGUGCUUCCUUCACACGGAAGAGGUCGCAGGUUCGAUCCCUGCAGUGUCCACCA
rnacentral:tRNA from 1 species